CAUUAGAGAAUGACAAAUUAGAUUUUUCUUUCUAAUUUUUAACUUUUUUCUCCUGAUAAAAUUUAAAUUCAAUUAAAAAUGCUAAAAAUCAAGAGAAAAAAUUUGAUUUGUCAUUCUCUCAUU
rfam:Gossypium raimondii Chr06_contig_1158, whole genome shotgun sequence.